CUGUUUGUGAUGAUUACUCAGCGAUAUGCGAUUAAAAGCUUCAAAUUUGCAGAAACCCAUCUUCUUCAGCUCCUACUCUGCCCAUGAUAUUCUCAGAGCGUCUUUCAUUGAGAAGUUUCUGGUCUCCAGAAUCCUUUUUGUGCACUUAAGAUUCCUUCUUGGUGUUUGGAGAAAGUUAAGUGAACAUCCCAGUGCAGUGACUUCAACAUGUUCUCAACUUCUCUUAUCACAUUUGAUUCGUCACGAACUAUUAGUUUACCUCCUGGUCUUACUAUUCUAUCCACUUCUGCCAUUACUGGAACAAGAUUGCACCUUUCAAAACAAAACAAAACAAGAGACUUAUUGUUGAUGAAACGUUACCAAAAGGUGUGGAUAUUAUGAGUUACGCUUAUACCUUGUUCUCAACUUUGAGAAAAGAUGAUCUGCAUGUAAGAGAUCAUAGCUUCGAGGUGUUCAUAAUCUGUAGUGAAAUCUCGAGGAGCUGGUUUCCCAUAUAUCCCCAUUUGAGAGCUGUUUAACCAGUAAGGCGGUGUUUGAAGCCGACGGGGCCAAUUCACGGGCCACUUGCUUCCUCUCUCGACCACAUUGGUUUCUGGUAGAUUGCAGCACCAAUACCAUUGAGUUUAUCCUUGUUGAUUGUCACAAGUUCCCAGCACAAGGAUUUUGUCAACGCGGACAUUUCUACAUCACUCAAAACAUCUCAGGUUCAGUGAAACAAACAAAAGAAGGAGGAACUCUAGUUAAGUUCAAGCAUUUUACUUUAGUCAUUACCUUUCCAGAUUUGAACAUCUUCUUCAAGCUUCUGGUAGACUGGUGUUGCUGACCAGACAAAAUAACCUCCAGGCCUAAGCAUCCGAUUAAGUUCCAGAAGAAGCAUACCACCCUCAUUAUGCCAUGGGACUCUACAACGUGCACAGUGGAUAAGAUCAAACACUCUGCUCGGGAAUGGCAGUCGCUUAGAGCCCAUAACUGCUGAGAUGGCUGGAAUCUUUCUUUCAAGAGCAAACUGGACUUGAGCCUCGUGUUCAUCUUUUGGUGCAAGAGACAUUGCUAUAACAUCUCUUUCAAAGAGGAAACCGCCAAAGCUCGCCACUCCACAUCCAACAUCCAAUAUGACCCGAGUACGUUUACCCCACGCAAUGUUUUUCAAAGACUGCCAUAGUAGAAAAAAGGAACCAUUAUAUUCUGCAUAAAAUUUCUAUCUUUUACUUGUUGCAGUUUUAACACUAUACUGAAAUCAAGAAAUGAGUGUUCACCUGCUGAAGAAAAUCGAUAUAAUGAAGAGCUCCAUGGAUGAACUGUGUUCCACCACCAGGAAACGUCAAGAACUCGCCAGUGACCUUCACCCAGUUCUGAUGUCCUUUUACCUCAGCUAGCUUUGUGUGUGGGACAUUGUGGUACCAUAUCUACUAGAUCACAUGCCACUUGAUGGCCUCCUUAUAACCUUCUGGGAGGGGGACGAGACACGUUGGUGGGUCUUCUGGGCAAUGUCUCUCUCUGUGCUCAAAAUGUCUUCUACUCCUUAGUUUCAUUAUAGCUUCUUCGUUGUCUAGGCAUGGUAUAUAGUCAGUUCCUGCAGUUGCAUUGCACAGCACCCAUGCAUUUCCAUCCAUAAUCCUCUCUACGGUGUUUGAUUCAGAUGUCUGUCUUUGUUUCUCGUCCUUAGAUUCUGUUGCCUGACUCUUCCAUGACUUCUGUGAUUCUGCAGAUUCUUUCGGUAUUCCAGAGCCAAAACCACUGGCUUCUGAACCCUGUUCGUGUUUUUUCUCAUCCUUCCGCUCUUCUUGUUGCUCCAUGUUUUCGUCCUUUGAUGUGCUCUCUUCUUCUUUGUUUCCGCUUUCUUCCUCUGCUGUGGUAUGUUCUUCCUGUUGGCCAUUCUCAUCUUUCAUGCUCUUCUCUCCCUUCCCGUUUUCUUCACUAGCUGUUGUCUUCUCCUCGUUUUGUUGUCCGGUUUCCUCAUUCCCUGAGUUUUGUUCCUCUGGUUGUCCGUUUUCUUCAUUCUUUGAGGUCUCUGAUGUUUCCCCCUGCCCCGUUUCCAUAGGUUGUUCUUGUUUGGUCGCAUCUGUGAAUGUCACAUCCGUAUUCGAAUCCUGUUCUUGCCCUUGUUUAUUUCCUUGUUCCACAUCCGGCUGUUCCUUCCCUUGUCCCUGCUCUUGCCCUUGAGUCCCUUUGGGCUGAGUCCCAGCGUCCUCGUCCCGCUGUUGUUUCUGUUCCUUUUCAAACUCCUUGACGACUUUUUUCAUCUGACCCUCCUCACUCUCUUGCACCGUCUGGUUCUCCUUGCCGUUAUCUUUCUCUUUUUCCUCGGAAAUUUUGUCAUCGUUGUUUUGUUGGGUCUCUUGUGUUUGAGUCUUUGAGCUCGUCGUUUCACUCUUCUCUUUCGCUGACUUCCGUUGCUCGUCUUCAGACUUUACGGCAUCGUCUGGAAGCUUUCCCGGAUUGUCUUCAAAUGCCUGUUGCUCAUCAGACUCUUGUUUCGUGGGUUCGGGCUCAUCAUUACCGUUUGAAGAGGCAGACACAUCACUCCUCUCUGUCUCUGCGACAGCCGCUCGAGUGGAGCCUUGUGUGAUCUGCGGUGGAAUAACGGAAUUGGAAGAAAGCAUCCACACCCCGAAGACACACAGAGCCACAAAGAUGACCAUUGUAAUGGUCGACGCAUAGGACGACGUCGAAGUGCGUUUGUUGCCACGUCCCCUCCCGAAGGCCAUCUUUACGGUCUUGCGUAUAGUACUAGUUAUGGAGAAAGAAGAAGAAGAAAAAUGAAGGAGUAAAAUGGGAGUUGAAGGAAGUAAAAAUAGAAGAAAAAGAAGAGAAAGAGAGGUUGUGAAGAGACAAGACUGGAUCAAAGAUCCUAUAGAGUCGGAUAUGGGACUUUCAAUUUCGUGUCUCUAAAUUUAGUUAUGGUCUCUGUGUUUCAUAUUUUGUUGUCCAUGAAAAAUUAGUGCCAUGUAAUCCAAUGUUAACUUGUAACGCCUAGUCAAGGAUAUAUUAAACAUGGCAAGCUUGUGCUUUUUUGGUAUAAUGUAUUCGAAGACUGUUUAAUUUGAAUUUUGAUUGAUUAAGUAUGUUGAUUUCAAUUUGAGUGUAUUUUUUGGUUGUUAUGGUAUUAUUUAUAAAAACAU
rnacentral:lncRNA from 1 species